ACAGAGGCACGAGGUUUCCAAGUUGGGUUUCUUCCCUCACAAAUCUUGUCAAUAUUCAGUUAAUGUAUUGCAGAUGUCAGCAUCUCCCACCGCUGGAUCAAAUCCCUUCACUUCAAAUGUUAGAGAUUUUGGGAUUACAUGAUUUAGAAUACAUAGAAAUUGAGGGACAAGCAGCAUCAUUCUUUCCAUCCCUCAAGGUUCUAAAAUUGUGGGAUUGUCGUAAGCUGAUAGGAUGGCGGAUGAAGAGGUAUGAAGAUGACAGUGAUGAUUCAACCACCAUAUCAUCACCAGAUCUACUCCAAUUUCCUUGUCUUUCUGAAUUCCACUGUAGUGGUUGCCCUAAUUUGAGUUUGAUCCCUCAGUUUCCAUCUCUCGAUGAAGAAUUAGUAUUGAUGCCAGUGAGCGUGCAACUUGUGCAGCAAAUAUUCACAACAUCAACUUCUUCUUCUUCUUCCUCAAUCGUUCCUCCUCUCUCUAAAUUGAAGAAGCUCAUUAUUUGGGGCGUUGAGGAUCUCGAAUUUCUACCUCCAGAUGGACUGCACAAUCUCACUUCUCUUCAACAAUUAGAGAUUGAGGGGUGCCCAAGAUUAACAUCUCUGCCUCAAGAGAUGCGUUCCCUCACCUCUUUACGAGAAUUGACAAUUAGUCGUUGUCCCCUGUUGAGCAAAAGAUGUCCAGAUAAAAAGGGUGAGGAUUGGCCUUUUAUUUCUCAAAUCCCAAAUGUUAAAGUUGAUGGCAAGAGAAUUCAAUGGGAGGGCUGCUAUCUACUAGAGGACGAGGAAAAAUCUUCUACCACAUCUGAAAAUUGAAAUGAUAAGUUAUGAAGAUUAAUUGCUGCCUCCUUCUUGAAAAACGUGUAUGAAGUUCUGGAGGGGAACUUCUAACUCAUUGACUCUAUCGGCAGUGGACAGCAGUAAAAACACAAGAAAUACAAUUAAGUUGCAGAAGGAAUGCUGGUUAUAGAACAAGACAAUAUAUGAGAAACUCCGGAGCUGCAAUUACAACCUCGCCGCUAUUCCAAAUGUGUUAGAAGCGGAAAAUAUUUAGUGAAUCUCUGUGGAAGUGUUCUGGUUGCAACUUUGGUUUCUGCGAUACGCAUUGGCAGGAGGUUCCGUGGUUAACUUUCUUCCCUCACAAAUCUUCAGCAGUUAACCAUUUUGGGAAUAGAGUCUUUGCCUUGACAGAUGUGUGGAGAAUCAAUUUUGACAACUCAUCAAUUAUUGAGCAAUUUGGUGAUUUGUUACUGCAGUGCUUCUCACAUUCAUCUUAAAUAUUGCAAAGAGUUCUAACUGUAUACAUAACCGGCAGUCACUUAUCCACACUGGAAAUGGGAGAUCAAGGACAGAUUAUAUUCCCAUAGUUUCUUGGACCAGAAAUAUGAGUGAUUUGAGAAUGUUUUCAUCACAAAAAUGAAAUCAGUGUACAUCUUUUUUCCUUGUGUACCUCAAAGCUUCCUGCCUCUAAUUCAUUUCAUCGUGAAGGGGAUAGAUAGCAGUGGCCAUCCUACAAGGCCUUCAAGGAGAUAGGCUUUGCAUGGAGCAGCAAAAGUGUCAGCUUAUUUCGUCUUAAAACAUUUUAAAGAUCAGAUUUGAAUGUUCAGUUAACAAACUGAAGCAGAGAAGAUAUCAAGACAAUGACUACAAUCUGAUAAUGCAAUUGGACUGAUGAUACGAAUCAUUUGUCAAGGGGGAAAAGAAGAAGACUUCAUACAGUUGUUAAUCAUUGGUUGUCCCCAAUCGAAAGAAAGAUGUGGAAAUUGGCCUUUCAUUUCUCACAUCCCAAAUAUUCAAUUUGAUUGGGAAAGAAUUAAAUGCACAGGAUAAUGAAGGACGAGAUGAUGUGAAGGAUAAUUAUUCUAUGCACAACAAAUUUAGCCACUCUAUUCCUUGGGGAAAGAGUAAUAAACUGGCUCAUCAAGAAAGAGGAGUCCCAGGAUUACUGUUUAUUUACAUCCCUGAAAUUCUAAUAAAUUGGAAAGUGUUGAACAAAUGCAAACGGUGCUCAGCGCAUUAGCAGGUCAUGCUUCUAUCCACUGUAUUCUUUAUAGUAGAGUCUACUUCCAAAAGAUUCAUACACAGGUACUUGUCCUUCUAUCUCGGUAAAACAUUUAAAAGUUCAAGAAUAAAACUUCUAACUCAUUGAGCAAACAUAUUUAUCUUGGUCAUUUCACUAUUUUCCUAACUUGGGUUUCUUUUCCAGGGAAUUUUGGUGCAUAUUCAAGUCAGUGUGAUCGUUAGUGAUCUAGUUUUGCUGGAUUUUAAGAAUUUUGCAUGGAAUUUCACUUGUGCACAUCUCUGAAAAUUCCAUGUAAUAAAUUGAAAUCUGGAACUAGUGCAAAGGAAACUUGGAAGAUAGUUUCUUGAUUCAAUCAUCUAAUUAUUUAUUUUUAUUUUUAUUCUCUCAUGUAGAAUGGUGGUUACAGAACAAAACGAGAAAUGAGGAGCUCCAGUGCUACAAUUACAACCUUGCUAUGCUUUUCCAAAUAUAUUAGAUAUGUCAUAUUCUUGGAGUUUUUUUUCUUUUCUUUUUCUUCUUCCUCGAUCAUUCCUCCUCUUUCUGAUUUGAAGAAGCUCUGAUUUGCCACAUAGAAGAACUCGUGCCACACAGAGGCAUGAGGUUUCCAAGUUGGGUUUCUUCAAAUCUUGUCAAUAUUAAGUUACUGCAUUGCAGAUGUCAGCAUCUCCCACCAUUGCAUCAAAUCCCUUCUCUUCAAAACUUAGAGAUUUCGGGAUUAAAUGAUUUAGAAUACAUAGAAAUUGAGGGACAAGGAACAUCAUUCUUCCCAUCCCUCAAGUAUCUGAAAAUACAGUUUUGUUCUAAACUGAUAGGAUGGCGGAAGAAGAGGUAUGAAGAUGAUAGUGAUGAUUCAACCACCAUAUCAUCACCAGACCUACUCCAAUUUCCUCGUCUUUCUCGCUUCAUUUGUCAUUAUCGCCCUAAUUUGAGUUGGAUCCCUCAGUUUCCAUCUAUCGAAGUUUUAGAUUUGAGGGCACUGAGCGUGCAACUUGUGCAGCAAAUAUUCACAACAUCAAUAUCUUCUUCUUUCUUCUUCUUCUUCUUCUUCUUCUUCUUCCUCAAUCAGUCCUCCUCUCUCUAAAUUGGAGAAUCUUCAGAUUGAGGAGAUUGAGGAACUCAUAUCUCUACCGUCAGAUGUAUUGCAGAAUCUCACUUCUCUUCAAACUUUAAAGAUUAGUAAUUGCCCAAGAUUAACUUCUCUGCCUCGAGAGAUGUGUUCCCUAACAUCUUUAUGAGAAUUGGAAAUUGAUGAUUGUCCCCUAUUGAACGAAAGAUGCGCAAAUAAAAAAGGCGCAGAUUGGCCUUUCAUUUCUCACAUCCCAAAUAUUGAAGUUGAUUACAAGAGAAUUCAAUGGGAGGGCCGCUAUCGACUAAAGAACGAAGAAAAAACAUCUAGAGCUUCUGAAAUGGAAUGAUACAAGUUAAUGAAGAUUAGAUGCCUAAUAAUUUAGCUACUCUAUACCAUUGGAAAUCAGCAGUACUAACUUCUAGUUGAAGAAACGAAUUUGCUUUGCAUCUUGAAGCAGGUAUAAGGUCAUAGACUGCAGCUAUGACCCCACCAUUGUUCCCAUCUCCCUCUUCUACAGAAUUCUAACUCUGUAUAUGGUGACAUGCACGAAUCACUGCUCAAAUCUAGAGGAAAUUUUGGUGACGACUUACAACCAACGAUCAUGGCCAACUCCAUGACCUCCUUUUCCUCUUGCAGGAUGCUGGAUUCCCUUUUGAUAAUCGCUUCUUAGUCUUCAAUGGUGAUUAUGUUGACUGAGGCGCUUGAGGUCUCAAGACCUUGCUUUUGUUAGCUUGGAAGGAAUUGGCCUAUGCUUUUUGACUUAUUAAUUCAAAAGUCAACUUCUCUUGAGAAUAUGGAGGUUCUCAAAUAGGGAGAUUCCUGGAUGAAAAUAGAAAGUUUUGUAUUCAUUCAAGAUCUCAGUAUUAGUCACUGCAAAAAGUUCAAAAGCUAUUGGGGGGUGUCUAACUGUUAGGAGCACUUAUGUAGAAGGCAAAGAUUUCUUCUGGUAGCAGAUGUGUGAUAACUUGUCAAAAAUGCAUAGCUAAACAAACCUCACCACCUAUCCUGGUCAGUCAUUUAAACUUUAUUUUGUUGUGAUAGUUUUCUGCAGAUUCCACGCACUUCCAUGAACAAUUGGCAAUUGUUUGUGUGAGUUCUCUCUAACAAAUUGAAGCAGAGAAGAUAUCAAGACAAUGACUACAAUCUGAUGAUUUAACAGGUUGCUCUAACACAAGCCAUGUGAAAAGAAGAAGACUGUAUACAGUUGUUAAUCAUUGGUUGUCCCCAGUUGCAAGAAAAAUGUGGAAAUUGGCAUUUCAUUUCUCACAUCCCAAAUGUUCAACUUGAUUGGGAAAGAAAUAAAUGCACAGGAAAAUGAAAAUAGUGUGAAGGAUAAGUAUUCCAUGCACCACAAAUUUAGCAACUCUAUUCCUUGGGAAAAGAGCAAUAAACUGGCUCAUCAAGAAAGAGGAGUCCCACGGUUACUGGUUUUUUACAUCCCUGAAAUUCUAAUAAAUUGGGAAGUGUUGAACAAAUGCAAACGGUGCUGAGCGCAUUAGCAGGUCACGCUUCUAUCCAUUGUAUUCUUUGGAAUAGAGUCUGCUUCAAGAAGAUUCAUACACAGGGAAUUUUGGUGCAUAUUCAAGUCAAUUUGAUCAUCAGUGAUAUAGUUUUGCUGGAUUUUAAGAAUUUUACAUGGAAUUUCACAUUGUCCACAUCUCUGAAAAUUCCAAAAAGAAUGGUGGUUACAGAACAAAACAAGAAAUGAGGAGCUCCAGUGCCACAAUUACGACCUGGCUAUGCUUUUCCAAAUAUAUUAGAUAUGUCAUAUUCUUGGAGUCUUGUUUCUUUUCUUUUUCUUCUUCCUCGAUCAUUCCUCCUCUCUCUGAUUUGAAGAAGC